GUUUUUUUAAACUGUCCAGCUGUGGACAUGCUUGUCGGGUCUCGAAAUGGGGUGUGCUUUGGGGGGUCGUCCCACCAAGGAUUGUUUCUUCUCAGAGUUCGCGCCCAUUGGCUGUCUCCGUGUCUUUUUGCUAUGCACAUCUUCACUCAGGGGACCCGCGUUUGCUGUCUGCGACGACUUCGGGCAGAGCCCCAAGUUGUGUUACCCAGCGCGGGGUCACCAGGAUCCCAGAGGGCAAGCAGAUUGAAGUAUCUGGUUUAAUUUCCUUUAGCUACAGUAAACCUCACGCUUUGCGUCUCCUUUUUCACGUCAGCGCAAGUCUGUUGACGCAGAGCUGAUCCCACGGGUUGUUCGCUUCUAGGGUAUAGCUGCGGGCGGUGUCGGCGCUGCCGUGAAGUGUGGCUGCUUUACGGCGCUCUCUCCAACCGCCGGGACGCCCUGUCAAAAGCCAAAACCAGCGCUGGCGUCCAACUUUGGAGACCACCACAAUCAUGUCAGAAAUAUAUGUCACCGGACCCGAUAAACACUGCUGCAGGCGUUGCUCUUCCCGCAGCGACAGGUGUUGCACGGGGAUCCAGUCUCGUUCGUUUGGCUACUAGCUGUGUACUCAGAAGGAAUUGGCGAGAAUUAGUGCACUGGGAGGAUGCUCCCGGGGAAGAGAAGAGGAAGAGCCUAUUCUCUCACAGCGGCCUACUGCGAUCAUGGAACGUAGUUUUUGCUGCGGGUGAAUUGUCGGAAAAAGAGAAAGGAGAUCCAUGGGACUGCUUGGUUCCGUUGUCUUUUUUGUCGGUUGAUACUCGAUGGGACGCGCCAUCACGCCCGGACUUGCAAUCGCUUGAAGCUAGGUAAGACGGGCUCUGAAGUGAUAUCCAGGGAUAUGGAGCGCAUGAGAAGUAGACUUCGCCUGUUGGCAACAGACGGUUUAAAAUUCAAACGAAAAGGGCUGCGACAUACCAGAGUAAUCAAAAGCAGGGAAUGGAACUUUCCUGGCCGGCCGUCAGCCCGUGCUCGCUGCUGUUUGCAUCGCGUGGCCUGGUCCCCAGUUCCGUACUUUUUUCUGCUUGCUGGCAUCCCGAAUGAUCCCCGGUACUGCUGCGUGUGGCAAUCGCUUGAACGGCUCCUCAGCACGCAUGGGGACGAACCGUAUAUCACAGAUUCAUCCCAUGUUAUCAUGUAAGAAAAC
rnacentral:lncRNA from 1 species